UUGGUGGCAACCGGGUAGGUAAGGAGGUUGUUAUAAUUUGCAAAGGUUAAAGCAAACACAACUACGAGGACUUGACCAUUGGCGCUAAUUCCAGAUUGUUCCUUUCCCUGCUCUUGUUCCGAGGGGUGCACUGAGGUCACAUUAGAAAAUGGUGAAGGCUGUUGCAGUUCUUAAAAGCAGUGAGGGUGUCACUGGAACUAUCUACUUCAAUCAGGAAGGAGAUGGGCCAACAACUGUAACAGGAAAUCUUGCUGGCCUUAAGCCUGGCCUCCAUGGCUUCCAUGUUCAUGCCCUUGGUGACACCACAAAUGGUUGCCUGUCAACUGGCCCACAUUUUAACCCUGCUGGCAAGGAGCACGGUGCACCUGAAGAUGAGAACCGUCAUGCUGGUGAUCUAGGGAAUGUUAAUGUUGGUGAUGAUGGAACUGUUAGCUUCAAUAUUACUGACAAUCAGAUUCCUCUCAGUGGACCAAACUCCAUCAUUGGACGGGCCGUUGUUGUUCAUGGGGAUCCUGAUGAUCUGGGGAAAGGUGCUUGUAAAUUACAUGGAUGACUUCUUACAACUUUUGUGGUCACGAGCUUAGUAAAACUACUGGAAAUGCUGGUGGCAGAGUGGCUUGUGGUAUUAUUGGUUUGCAAGGAUGAAUCACCGCAAUCUCAAACCUCAGUGACGUGAAGUUGAAUAUAUGCGCGAUCACAUGGAGAAGAUUGUGAACGCCUUGGAAUAAACUGUAACCUGUCUCAUUUUGUUAUCUGUAAUCCUGAGUGUUUAUUUUGUUCUUCUCCGAUAGCUAUAUAUGUAGCACUCCAGUGCUUUUAUGGCAUUCAGUCUUUUGACUGGAUUAUCGGGAUUCUGUGUGGUUCGAUAUUAUAUUUUUGUUUUAUCGUUGAGCAAUAUGAUCUUGAAAAUUAAGCCA